CGGCGCACGGGUGCGUAACGCGUAUGCAAUCUGCCUUUCACAGAGGGAUAGCCCAGAGAAAUUUGGAUUAAUACCUCAUAGUAUUAUAGAGCGGCAUCGCUUUAUAAUUAAAGUCACAACGGUGAAAGAUGAGCAUGCGUCCCAUUAGCUAGUUGGUAAGGUAACGGCUUACCAAGGCAACGAUGGGUAGGGGUCCUGAGAGGGAGAUCCCCCACACUGGUACUGAGACACGGACCAGACUCCUACGGGAGGCAGCAGUGAGGAAUAUUGGUCAAUGGGCGCAAGCCUGAACCAGCCAUGCCGCGUGCAGGAUGACGGUCCUAUGGAUUGUAAACUGCUUUUGUACGAGAAGAAACAUCCCGACGUGUCGGGACUUGACGGUAUCGUAAGAAUAAGGAUCGGCUAACUCCGUGCCAGCAGCCGCGGUAAUACGGAGGAUCCAAGCGUUAUCCGGAAUCAUUGGGUUUAAAGGGUCCGUAGGCGGUUUAGUAAGUCAGUGGUGAAAGCCCAUCGCUCAACGGUGGAACGGCCAUUGAUACUGCUAGACUUGAAUUAUUAGGAAGUAACUAGAAUAUGUAGUGUAG
rnacentral:rRNA from 1 species